rnacentral:piRNA from 1 species
UGUUGUUUUUUUUCUUGAGUCUUCCCU